UUAAGCGACUAAGCGUACACGGUGGAUGCCCUGGCAGUCAGAGGCGAUGAAGGACGUGCUAAUCUGCGAUAAGCGUCGGUAAGGUGAUAUGAACCGUUAUAACCGGCGAUUUCCGAAUGGGGAAACCCAGUGUGUUUCGACACACUAUCAUUAACUGAAUCCAUAGGUUAAUGAGGCGAACCGGGGGAACUGAAACAUCUAAGUACCCCGAGGAAAAGAAAUCAACCGAGAUUCCCCCAGUAGCGGCGAGCGAACGGGGAGCAGCCCAGAGCCUGAAUCAGUGUGUGUGUUAGUGGAAGCGUCUGGAAAGGCGCGCGAUACAGGGUGACAGCCCCGUACACAAAAAUGCACAUGCUGUGAGCUCGAUGAGUAGGGCGGGACACGUGGUAUCCUGUCUGAAUAUGGGGGGACCAUCCUCCAAGGCUAAAUACUCCUGACUGACCGAUAGUGAACCAGUACCGUGAGGGAAAGGCGAAAAGAACCCCGGCGAGGGGAGUGAAAAAGAACCUGAAACCGUGUACGUACAAGCAGUGGGAGCACGCUUAGGCGUGUGACUGCGUACCUUUUGUAUAAUGGGUCAGCGACUUAUAUUCUGUAGCAAGGUUAACCGAAUAGGGGAGCCGAAGGGAAACCGAGUCUUAACUGGGCGUUAAGUUGCAGGGUAUAGACCCGAAACCCGGUGAUCUAGCCAUGGGCAGGUUGAAGGUUGGGUAACACUAACUGGAGGACCGAACCGACUAAUGUUGAAAAAUUAGCGGAUGACUUGUGGCUGGGGGUGAAAGGCCAAUCAAACCGGGAGAUAGCUGGUUCUCCCCGAAAGCUAUUUAGGUAGCGCCUCGUGAAUUCAUCUCCGGGGGUAGAGCACUGUUUCGGCAAGGGGGUCAUCCCGACUUACCAACCCGAUGCAAACUGCGAAUACCGGAGAAUGUUAUCACGGGAGACACACGGCGGGUGCUAACGUCCGUCGUGAAGAGGGAAACAACCCAGACCGCCAGCUAAGGUCCCAAAGUCAUGGUUAAGUGGGAAACGAUGUGGGAAGGCCCAGACAGCCAGGAUGUUGGCUUAGAAGCAGCCAUCAUUUAAAGAAAGCGUAAUAGCUCACUGGUCGAGUCGGCCUGCGCGGAAGAUGUAACGGGGCUAAACCAUGCACCGAAGCUGCGGCAGCGACGCUUAUGCGUUGUUGGGUAGGGGAGCGUUCUGUAAGCCUGCGAAGGUGUGCUGUGAGGCAUGCUGGAGGUAUCAGAAGUGCGAAUGCUGACAUAAGUAACGAUAAAGCGGGUGAAAAGCCCGCUCGCCGGAAGACCAAGGGUUCCUGUCCAACGUUAAUCGGGGCAGGGUGAGUCGACCCCUAAGGCGAGGCCGAAAGGCGUAGUCGAUGGGAAACAGGUUAAUAUUCCUGUACUUGGUGUUACUGCGAAGGGGGGACGGAGAAGGCUAUGUUGGCCGGGCGACGGUUGUCCCGGUUUAAGCGUGUAGGCUGGUUUUCCAGGCAAAUCCGGAAAAUCAAGGCUGAGGCGUGAUGACGAGGCACUACGGUGCUGAAGCAACAAAUGCCCUGCUUCCAGGAAAAGCCUCUAAGCAUCAGGUAACAUCAAAUCGUACCCCAAACCGACACAGGUGGUCAGGUAGAGAAUACCAAGGCGCUUGAGAGAACUCGGGUGAAGGAACUAGGCAAAAUGGUGCCGUAACUUCGGGAGAAGGCACGCUGAUAUGUAGGUGAAGCGACUUGCUCGUGGAGCUGAAAUCAGUCGAAGAUACCAGCUGGCUGCAACUGUUUAUUAAAAACACAGCACUGUGCAAACACGAAAGUGGACGUAUACGGUGUGACGCCUGCCCGGUGCCGGAAGGUUAAUUGAUGGGGUUAGCGCAAGCGAAGCUCUUGAUCGAAGCCCCGGUAAACGGCGGCCGUAACAAUAACGGUCCUAAGGUAGCGAAAUUCCUUGUCGGGUAAGUUCCGACCUGCACGAAUGGCGUAAUGAUGGCCAGGCUGUCUCCACCCGAGACUCAGUGAAAUUGAACUCGCUGUGAAGAUGCAGUGUACCCGCGGCAAGACGGAAAGACCCCGUGAACCUUUACUAUAGCUUGACACUGAACAUUGAGCCUUGAUGUGUAGGAUAGGUGGGAGGCUUUGAAGUGUGGACGCCAGUCUGCAUGGAGCCGACCUUGAAAUACCACCCUUUAAUGUUUGAUGUUCUAACGUUGACCCGUAAUCCGGGUUGCGGACAGUGUCUGGUGGGUAGUUUGACUGGGGCGGUCUCCUCCUAAAGAGUAACGGAGGAGCACGAAGGUUGGCUAAUCCUGGUCGGACAUCAGGAGGUUAGUGCAAUGGCAUAAGCCAGCUUGACUGCGAGCGUGACGGCGCGAGCAGGUGCGAAAGCAGGUCAUAGUGAUCCGGUGGUUCUGAAUGGAAGGGCCAUCGCUCAACGGAUAAAAGGUACUCCGGGGAUAACAGGCUGAUACCGCCCAAGAGUUCAUAUCGACGGCGGUGUUUGGCACCUCGAUGUCGGCUCAUCACAUCCUGGGGCUGAAGUAGGUCCCAAGGGUAUGGCUGUUCGCCAUUUAAAGUGGUACGCGAGCUGGGUUUAGAACGUCGUGAGACAGUUCGGUCCCUAUCUGCCGUGGGCGCUGGAGAACUGAGGGGGGCUGCUCCUAGUACGAGAGGACCGGAGUGGACGCAUCACUGGUGUUCGGGUUGUCAUGCCAAUGGCACUGCCCGGUAGCUAAAUGCGGAAGAGAUAAGUGCUGAAAGCAUCUAAGCACGAAACUUGCCCCGAGAUGAGUUCUCCCUGACUCCUUGAGAGUCCUGAAGGAACGUUGAAGACGACGACGUUGAUAGGCCGGGUGUGUAAGCGCAGCGAUGCGUUGAGCUAACCGGUACUAAUGAACCGUGAGGCUUAACCUU
rnacentral:rRNA from 1 species